ACCAUGUCUCAGCAGCCGCUUCGAGGGGUGACGGGCCUGCGUUUCAACCAAGACCAAAGCUGCUUUUGCUGCGCCAUGGAGACAGGUGUGCUGGUCUACAGCGUGGAGCCACUGAAGGCCAGGAGGCGCCUGGACCACCAACAGGUGGGCAGCAUUGGCCUGGUAGAGAUGCUGCACUGCUCCAACCUGUUGGCCCUGGUGGGCGGUGGUAGCAGCCCCAAGUUCUCAUCCAUCUCCGUGCUGAUCUGGGACGAUGCCCAGGAGGGCAGAGACUCCAAGGACAAACUGGUGCUAGAGUUCACCUUCCCCCAGCCAGUGCUGACUGUACGCAUGCGCCACGACAAGAUCGUGAUGGUGCUGAGAAACCGCAUCUAUGUGUACUCCUUUCCAGACAGUCCCCGGAAGCUGUUUGAGUUUGACACCCGAGACAAUCCCAGAGGACUUUGUGAACUCUGCCCCAGCCUGGAGAAGCAAUUGCUCGUGUUCCCGGGACACAAGUGUGGAAGUCUACAACUUGUGGAGCUGGCAAGCCCCAAGCCUGGCACUUCAUCCGCCCCAUUUACCAUCAAUGCCCAUCAGAGUGAUGUGGCCUGUGUGUCUCUGAAUCCGCCGGGCACGGUGGUGGCCUCGGCCUCCCAGAAAGGUACUCUUAUCCGUCUUUUUGACACCCAGUCCAAGGAGAAACUGGUGGAGCUGCGCCGAGGCAUUGACCCUGCCACCCUCUACUGCAUUAACUUCAGCCACGACUCCUCCUUCCUCUGCGCUUCCAGUGAUAAGGGCACUGUCCAUAUCUUUGCUCUCAAGGAUACCCGCCUCAACCGCCGCUCUGCGCUGGCUCGUGUGGGCAGGGUCGGCCCUAUGAUUGGGCAGUACGUGGGCCCUAUGAUCGGGCAGUACGUGGACUCCCAGUGGAGUCUGGCCAGCUUUACUGUGUCUGCUGAGUCGGCUUGCAUCUGCGCCUUUGGUCGCAGUACUUCCCAGAAUGUCAACUCUGUAAUUGCCGUCUGCGUAGAUGGGACCUUCCACAAGUAUGUCUUCACUCCUGACGGGAAGUGCAACAGAGAGGCUUUUGACGUGUACCUUGACGCCUGUGAUGAUGAUUUUUAA